rnacentral:rRNA from 1 species
AGUGAACGCUGGCGGUAGGCCUAACACAUGCAAGUCGAACGGCAGCACAGUAAGAGCUUGCUCUUACGGGUGGCGAGUGGCGGACGCGUGAGGAAUACAUCGGAAUCUACUUUUUCGUGGGGGAUAACGUAGGGAAACUUACGCUAAUACCGCAUACGACCUACGGGUGAAAGCAGGGGAUCUUCGGACCUUGCGCGAUUGAAUGAGCCGAUGUUGGACUAGCUAGUUGGCGGGGUAAAGGCCCACCAAGGCGACGAUCCGUAGCUGGUCUGAGAGGAAGGAUCCGCACACUGGAAGUGAGGAAAGGCCCCGACUCCGGAGGGGAGCCACAGUGGGGAAUAUUGGACAAUGGGCGCAAGCCUGAUCCAGCAAUACCGCGUGGGUGAAGAAGGACUUCGGGUUGGAAAGCCCUUUUGUUGGGAAAGAAAAGCAGCAGGUUAAUACCCCGCGGUUCUGACGGUACCGAAAGAAUAAGCACCGGCUAACUUCGUG